UACAGGGGGGGCAAGCGUUGUUCGGAAUUACUGGGCGUAAAGGGCUCGUAGGUGGCCAACUAAGUCGGACGUGAAAUCCCUCAGCUUAACUGGGGAACUGCAUCCGAUACUGGGUGGCUUAAGUUUGGGAGAGGGAUGCGGAAUUCCAGGUGUAGCGGUGAAAUGCGUAGAUAUCUGGAGGAACACCGGUGGCGAAGGCGGCAUCCUGGACCAACACUGACACUGAGGAGCGAAAGCCAGGGGAGCAAACGGG
rnacentral:rRNA from 1 species